rnacentral:rRNA from 1 species
UACGUAGGGUGCAAGCGUUGUCCGGAAUUAUUGGGCGUAAAGAGCUCGUAGGCGGUUUGUCGCGUCUGCUGUGAAAACCCGAGGCUCAACCUCGGGCCUGCAGUGGGUACGGGCAGACUAGAGUGCGGUAGGGGAGAUUGGAAUUCCUGGUGUAGCGGUGGAAUGCGCAGAUAUCAGGAGGAACACCGGUGGCGAAGGCGGGACUCUGGGCCGAUACUGACGCUGAGGCACGAAGGUCAGGGGAGCAAACGGG